GACGUAGGGCGCGAGCGUUGUCCGGAUUUAUUGGGCGUAAAGAGCUCGUAGGCGGCUUGUCGCGUCGACUGUGAAAUCCCGCGGCUCAACUGCGGGUCUGCAGUCGAUACGGGCAGGCUAGAGUUCGGUAGGGGAGACUGGAAUUCCUGGUGUAGCGGUGAAAUGCGCAGAUAUCAGGAGGAACACCUGCGGCGAAGGCGGGUAGCUGGGCCGACACUGACGCUGAGGCGCGAAAGCCAGGGGAGCGAACGGGG
rnacentral:rRNA from 1 species